UUUUAUUUCUGUUUCAAGCUUUCCUAGGACUGCAAGCAGCGCAGCGCAAGAUACAGAUUUCCCCAUCUCUACAAGGCCUUUUUAUUUGGUCUAGAUACACAUCUUCAAUCCUUGUUUUGAGGAUCAAAUCUGUAUUUCCUGCGUGCUUGAGGAAAGUCUGUCAGCGUGAUGAGGCAUCAGCAUCACUCAGCAGGACCUGUUGAGGAGCCAGUGAUGGCUUGGCCCAUCACAGCACUGAUUUAUCCUUUUUUGAUCUAAUCCUGUGAGUAUGAGCUCAGGAGCUGUGCCAAAACUUUGUGGAGACUUUGUUGUGUGCAUACACCUUAGGUUAGGGCACUGUUAGGGUAAUGGUUGGACUUGAUGAGCUCAGAUGUUGCUUCUAACCUUAAUGAUUUUGUGAUUGCAGAGCUCCAAUUCUUAAAGAAAAUGAGCUCUCAGCUUUAAGGAUGGUUGCUGGCUGCAGUUAAUGUAUUUAAUUAUAUAUAUGUAUAUAAUAUAUAUAUAUGUGUUUAUGUUAGGAAAUAUUUAGUAGAAUCUGGCAAUUUGAAAAGAGAAAGAUUUAAAAGCAGGGACUGAAGGGGCUCCAGGAGAGCUGGAGAGGGACUGGGGACAAGGAAU
rnacentral:lncRNA from 1 species